rnacentral:rRNA from 1 species
UUGAUCAUGGCUCAGAUUGAACGCUGGCGGCAGGCCUAACACAUGCAAGUCGAGCGGCAGCACAGAGAAACUUGUUUCUCGGGUGGCGAGCGGCGGACGGGUGAGUAAUGCCUGGGAAAUUGCCCUGAUGUGGGGGAUAACCAUUGGAAACGAUGGCUAAUACCGCAUGAUGCCUACGGGCCAAAGAGGGGGACCUUCGGGCCUCUCGCGUCAGGAUAUGCCCAGGUGGGAUUAGCUAGUUGGUGAGGUAAGGGCUCACCAAGGCGACGAUCCCUAGCUGGUCUGAGAGGAUGAUCAGCCACACUGGAACUGAGACACGGUCCAGACUCCUACGGGAGGCAGCAGUGGGGAAUAUUGCACAAUGGGCGCAAGCCUGAUGCAGCCAUGCCGCGUGUGUGAAGAAGGCCUUCGGGUUGUAAAGCACUUUCAGUUGUGAGGAAGGUGGUGUCGUUAAUAGCGGCAUCAUUUGACGUUAGCAACAGAAGAAGCACCGGCUAACUCCGUGCCAGCAGCCGCGGUAAUACGGAGGGUGCGAGCGUUAAUCGGAAUUACUGGGCGUAAAGCGCAUGCAGGUGGUUUGUUAAGUCAGAUGUGAAAGCCCGGGGCUCAACCUCGGAACUGCAUUUGAAACUGGCAGACUAGAGUACUGUAGAG